rnacentral:lncRNA from 1 species
AGAUCAGAAAAUCAUAAGACAGCAUUAAAAAGUACUAUACAGGAGGAGAUGGAACAAGAUGGCCAAAUAGAAGCCUCCAGCAAUCAUCUCCCCGAAAGGAAUUGAACAACUAUCAAAACAAAAUUGAACAACUAUCUAAACAAAAAAGUACCUUCAUAAAAAACAAAAAUCAGGCAUACAAUGGUGGACAAAACAGCUGCCUUUCUUCCCCGUAUGGAGCUUACAGUAUAGUGAAUAUUUCAUGGGACUAGUAUCUACAGAAGGUGUUUUGGGAAGCACAGCUUUGGAGAGAGUAAUUUGCCAACAUUGCACAGAAUAAAGGCACCAUGAGGGCCCAAGGAAGGAAAAGAUUUGCAGCUGUCUUGACCACCACCACAUGUGCAGCAUCCCUCUGGGUCUCUUCCAUGACAACCCUGUGGGAAGCCAGGCAAGUGAGAAUCAAUGUAAACAUGAAGUUCAUGCUGCUUACUGUGUCGUGAUAAUGUCCUUGUCUCCCAAUCAGGAGAUGCUUCUCUUCUGUCAGCCUGCAACUG